UCUCGAUAGCGUAAAAGUUAACUCAAAUUUGUAUGGAGUUGGAAAGUUUGCCUACGUUUGCCGCUAGGGGCGCUGUUCCAACAGCAUACAAAUAUAUGAGUUAACUUUUACGCUAUCGA
rnacentral:pre_miRNA from 9 species